GGGCACACAAAUGUACCAACCUGAAGUAGCUCGUUGGCUUUGAACUUCAAAAGAAAGUUACAGAGCAAAGAGCUGAGGUAGCAGUGGCCUUUGGGACAGUCUGUUUCACAGAAUCAGUCACUGUACACAGGAGGUUGCUUGGUUGUACCAUUUCAGAGCUCGCUGCAGGGCCUGGCCGUGCCCCUUCUGCUGCCAUUUCAGCUCUUUCCACUGCAUGGCACCAGAACAAUGUAAGUUAUCUGGGGCUGUAAUCUCUACGAGGCUUCAGGGAAAAUAAUUUUUAAGGAAAUAAAUUCCAUGGUAGGCACAAAAGUGCCUUUGUGAUGAACUCUUUUUUUUCCUUUUUUUUCAGUGGAAGGCAUAACCAGGUGCACACGACAGUACGACUUCAAUAGCUCAGUGUUGGCAGAGGCACAAAGUGCUAUUUCUCUGCCGCCCCUCUGUCCUGAGCUGCAGCAGCACUACCGGGGAAAGCAGGGACGGGCCCUUCUGCUGCAUGAGCUCAGGAGCAGCGCUGGGCGAGACUCACCUCCCUGCACGGGGAUGAAGAACAUCAUAAUAUGUUUGAAGCAAAGAACUGCAGAUAGGGAGAUUUUCAAAAAGCCAUUUGUUUACCUGGGUGAGGCAUUCAGACCAAAAGCGAAGGGUUAUUCAGGAAAGAACUCAAGCAUGUGGCUACAGCACUGGAGCAGACCCAUUCAGCCUCAGCUCGCAGCAGCACAGCUAGGGGUGCAGUGGGGUUCAUCAGGCCAGCACCUCCUCCUGGAGCUGAGCACAAGCCUGCACUCCUGGAUCAUGCCAUCCUGGCCAUUUAUUUGCCUGAAACUUAAACCUAUGCACUUCUCCUGGUGGUUGCAAAGUUUGCCACGCUCUGUCAAGCCUGCAGCGAUUACUUAUGGGCCACAGAUGGAUGCCUCAGCUCACUGGAGAGAUGUGUCCUGUAAUGCAUGCUGCUUGUUCACAGCUGAUCCCGAAAGAAGCUGACAUAAGGGCAUCAAGGAGCAUAAUUUUCCAGAAAUGCACUCCCUGCAUUUCUGACUGAAAGGGUAUGUGCAGAGUGGUUCACUGUGGCAGAGACUGAAGUGUUUGAGAGGUUUGUACUCCAGCCUGCUAUUAACUAUUGGUAGCACUGACUGCAGGGCUGCAGGCAGCGCAUGCUUUUAGCUUGAAUUUUCACUUCUUCAUUCUGGAAGGAAGAAUGGGAGAAAUGUUCUGGGUGCAAAUUCCGUGUGUGUCUCACGCCAUCUGCUAAUAGCAUGUGUGAGCUGCUCUACUGCCAGAAACCAGGAACAAAGAUAACAUCACUGCAGAGAGAACUGCCCUGCUCCCAAGUGAGGCUCGUACUGCAGGUAACCCGAUCGCUCCGCACCCACUGGGGCCGAGCCUAGGGCAGUCCUGUUCACCUGACACUUGCAUAAACCUAGGACGGUGUCACUCAAACCAGUGUGGGACCUUAGAUGCAAAGCUGUUCCUGCUGAGCCCAGCAGAUAAAUAAAGUUCAUAAUCCAUUCAAUACGAUGGCCCUGUUGGAAUCCCAGAGAUGAAGUUAUUCGGGAGGAGGAAGUACAAAAGCCAAAGAAGCCUCCCCAUCUAAACCCUGUUCAGGCAACUUGCAGACGAGGCAGGGAGUACAGUCUGCAGUGGAACACUGAGGAAACUGUCACAGAAGCUACCGCUGGUCCUGAGCACAUUCACCAGAGUCUUGAGAGUCUGCUGUGCCACAGCUGGAUGCUCAUCCAUCUGAGAACCAGGCUUUUCUCUGCCUUUCCACAGCCUGCAAUGCAGUCAGGAAGCAAAGGAUACUAAGGGAUGUUAGCAGCUGCCAAACUGCCAGAGUUACCACAAGGCCUGACGACACGCUGCUGCUGCACCAGGCAGGACGGGACGGCGGGCUUGUCUGCACUGCUGGAAAGCAAGCAGCCAGGAACGGGCAUGCACAAGCAACCUGCAGAGCUCGGUGACCACAUUUCUUUGGUGUCUGCUGCCCAGCUGGAAAAGAGGUGUGCCUCUCAGAGUGUGCAGCCCUGAGGACCACAGAGGGAGGUGGGAGCAGCACCGUGGAAGGCAGGUAUACAAAACCCCACAGAGGAAUUGCAUUUUCCUACUCCUCAUUUGUUAUUCUACAUGGUAAUGUAUUAAUUCCUUCACUAAACUCCUUUGAUUAUUUUUAUUACCCUCCUGAUGUCACUCUGAAUAUUACUGUUAUCCUUAUAAAUACACAAACCCCUUUCUGAAGAAUUUUAGCCAUCCAACCAACAUGCCCUGUGACCUUGAAGUCAGUACACUCAAUUCAUCAGUUGAAUUGAAAAUAACUGAGCUUUGGGUGAAAAAUUCACUACGUAUCCCUAAGGCUCAUACAUUUGGUAUGGUUUAAGGUGUAAGUAAGUGUGCAUAAAAUGAAUAUCAUUCUAAUGGGCUUUGUAUUUUCUUAGAUGGAACUUGACGAUGUUGGCAAUACGUCUCCAUGCAAAAAAACAAAGGUGUGUUUAUAAAGGCAUGUGCCAGGUUAAAGAGACAAAUGCUGUAUCAUACAGAGGUUUACAUUAAAGAGAGGAAUUACUUCACUAUGGGUAUAUGUGAAGGCCCACACUCCAUCUUGCAAACCUUGCAAGGGUUUGUCCAGGCGGAAAGAGCCCUGCAGAUGCCCCAGGCUUGGCCAGGAGCGCCCAGCUUUGCCAGCAACAGCCUGGCAUGCUGCUGCUGGCAGGGCCUCAUCUGCCCGGUGAGCUGCACGGGCAGCAGCAGUGCAGUAGAUAUUGGAGAUACUGCUCUGAGGGAAGCACCUGCAAGGCCACCACUGCUCCAUAUGGGUCUGCUGGGGGCAGGAGUAGCAGCAGACAAGAGGGCAUGCAACAUGGGCCCCAGCUGCAGUGUUUGAAGGCCUGGAAACAGGAAUGCAUCCAUUCUCCUCCAGUUUAAUACAAAACUCCUGAUCCUCAAGAAUACCAGCUGUGAGUUGACGUUAAUGUCAGUGAAUAGCAAAUAGUCCCCUGACACCAAUCUGGAUCACGUUUCAUUGCAGAAGGAUUGUCUUCAAAUAGACUGCCACUGGUUCUAUGUUUAGGACCUAUUUUCCAUGCUCGCUGAUAGUGUCCUGCUUCUUUCCAAAGCUACAUAACCUCAGUGUCCUGGCUAGCUUUGGGCCCAGCCCCUUAAGUCACACUCCCUUGAAUAAGCCUUAUCCAUGAAUACAGUGAGUCUCAUGUCAUGACAAAAAGCUUUAAUAAAACGAUGUUCUGGGAGCACAAUGAAAAGCCAAUCUAAUCAGUACCCAGCUAAGGCAGGGAUGAAUGCACGAUAGGCAGCUUUUUUACAUUUAUCACCAGGCCCUAACAGCCCCAAAAUAACCACACAUGUUGAGUAACCAACAAGAAGAAGCCAAUUUCUGAAGACCUACCUAGAUAACAUAGUUCUUCUUUUCAGUACAUAAAUCCUGAAUAGGACUCUGGAAUCAUGAAAAUAAUUAGGGUGAUGAUAACAAUAAAUUUAAAAUAUUUUCCAGACAAGAAGCUGAGAAAGUCUCUAGGGAGGUCUUUUGGUGGACUUCAUAAAUCUUAACACCGUUUUUAAUUAAGUAUUAGUUAUUUCAUAAUCCACAUUGUUUACUUAGCAACUGCUUUGGUAUUGAGUAUGCUAUCCUGGCAACAUACAUUUUUGCCAUAGGCCAGGAUCACAAAACACUAUUUGAAUCAUCUGUCAUCCCCAGUCUGCCUACGUUGUUAUUCUAUAGCUGCAGAUCGCAAGAUGAUGAACAAUGCUGGAUAUUCAUCAACCUUAUUUCAAACAUGGAGUAACUAUGAUGUAAUGAGAUUAAGAAAUCUGCUUGAUGCCAUUAAAUGAAUUAGCAGCCAUACAAAGAUUAGAAAACAUUUCCCUAUUCCUGGCUCUGCUCGUAAUCCACUGGACACGAACACCCGAACCACUUCUUACUGCCAUUCGCAGUUUCAGCAAAGGGGUGCACUGAAGGAGGCAUUAAUUCACUCCUCAGGGCUUUUUAAGAGACUUUUAAGUGACCGAAAGAGGACUUCAGAUGCUUCAAAGAAGAGAGAACGAUGGCACUAUGGUGUCACUUCGGGGACUGAAAUUCAGUCUGCAAAAGCUCAUACAAAUUCAAAAGAAGGAGAAUCGUGUUUAUGCAGAGCUGAGGCUCUGUGCAUAUAGAAGUGUGGGUUUUGGUAGACGUUGUGAGCUUCAGGAGGCCGUUGAAGGGAAUAAAGCACAAAUAUACAGCCAUGAUAUUUUACGAUGUUUCCUUUCUUAGGCCUUUUUGGGGGUUAUCAAAUCUUUGGUGGAUAUUUGGCACAUGGUUAAGUAAACUCAGGAGGAAAACCUAAAGGUAAGAAAUUGAAGCAACUGAUUAUGCAAAUUCUAAACUUUUCACAGUUAUCCACUGAGGACUGCUUAGGUCCUUUGUGUUACCAGAAGUCCUGCAGUCAGGACGUACACAGCCUCUUUAUGACUUCCACGUGAUAGUGCAGUUGUUCCAGAUGGAUAUCAAUUCAAUUAAGAGCAAAGAGUGAUUUGAGCUAUAUUCAGUGAAUUUGGAAGUACCGUUGACAUCAAAUUGCUUUGCCUCUGGUGGGUUUUUUUAAGCACCCACACAAGUCACUAUGUUUAAUUUUUAAAAAACCCUUAUAAAUACAACAUAUGAAGGAAAACACUGCUAGAUUAUUCUCUUCUUCUUGGUUUAGAACCUUUGACAGUAAGCUUACAAUUCUAACACAUCACUGACGUCCAUGCCUUCCAAGACAUUCUGGAACUUUCUCUUUGCAACACAGCAUGGAGGAGGCUGAGGAUAAGUGGUUGCAAGUUUACACAUUAUAAGAGAUGUGAUGUGAGCUUGUAAUUCAGGUUCUGUGUCAUCUGUGGGAAAAACCAUAGAAUGCUCAUCUCUACUCCUUGCACACACCCAGAUGUGGUAUCAGAUUCUGAUC
ensembl:lncRNA